rnacentral:rRNA from 1 species
UACGAGGGGGGCAAGCGUUGUUCGGAAUUAUUGGGCGUAAAGGGUGCGUAGGCGGUUUUGUAAGUCUUGUGUGAAAUCUUCAGGCUCAACUUGAAGACUGCACGAGAAACUGCAGGGCUUGAGUGUGGGAGGAGGUGAGUGGAAUUCCUGGUGUAGCGGUGAAAUGCGCAGAUAUCAGGAGGAACACCAAUGGCGAAGGCAGCACUCUGGGACGGUACUGACGCUGAGACGCGAAAGCGUGGGGAGCAAACAGG